UACAUGGGGUGCAAACGUUGCUCGGAAUUAUUGGGCGUAAAGCGCGCGUAGGCGGUUACUCAAGUCGGAUGUGAAAGCCCUCGGCUUAACUGAGGAAGUGCACCCGAAACUGAGUAGCUAGAGUACUAAAGAGGGUCGCGGAAUUCCCGGUGUAGAGGUGAAAUUCGUAGAGAUCGGGAGGAAGGCCGGUGGCGAAGGCGGCGCUCUGGAACAUUUCUGACGCUGAGGCUCGAAAGCGUGGGGAGCAAACAGG
rnacentral:rRNA from 1 species